UACGUAGGGGGCUAGCGUUGUCCGGAUUUAUUGGGCGUAAAGAGCGUGUAGGCGGCCAGGUAGGUCUGGUGUGAAAACUCGAGGCUUAACCUCGAGAUGUCAUCGGAAACCAUCUGGCUAGAGUCCGGAAGAGGAGAGUGGAAUUCCUGGUGUAGCGGUGAAAUGCGCAGAUAUCAGGAAGAACACCAAUGGCGAAGGCAGGUCUCUGGGCCGAUACUGACGCUGAGGAGCGAAAGCGUGGGGAGCGAACAGG
rnacentral:rRNA from 1 species